rnacentral:rRNA from 1 species
AAGACCCCGGGACCUUCACUAUAGCUUGGUAUUGGUGUUCGGUUCGGUUUGUGUAGGAUAGGUGGGAGACUGUGAAGCGGCCACGCCAGUGGUUGUGGAGUCGUUGUUGAAAUACCACUCUGAUCGUAUUGGAUACCUGAACCUCGGCCCGUGAUCCGGGUUAGGGACAGUGCCUGGUGGGUAGUUUAACUGGGGCGGUUGCCUCCCAAAGUGUAACGGAGGCGCCCAAAGGUUCCCUCAGCCUGGUUGGCAAUCAGGUGUUGAGUGUAAGUGCACAAGGGAGCUUGACUGUGAGACUGACAGGUCGAGCAGGGACGAAAGUCGGGACUAGUGAUCCGGCACCGGCUUGUGGAAGCGGUGUCGCUCAACGGAUAAAAGGUACCCCGGGGAUAACAGGCUGAUCUUCCCCAAGAGUCCAUAUCGACGGGAUGGUUUGGCACCUCGAUGUCGGCUCGUCGCAUCCUGGGGCUGGAGUAGGUCCCAAGGGUUGGGCUGUUCGCCCAUUAAAGCGGCACGCGAGCUGGGUUUAGAACGUCGUGAGACAGUUCGGUCUCUAUCCGCCGCGCGCGUUGAAACUUGAGAAAGGCUGUCCCUAGUACGAGAGGACCGGGACGGACAUACCUCUGGUGGGCCAGUUGUCACGCCCGUGGCAUGGCUGGUUGGCUACGUAUGGGAGGGAUAACCGCUGAAAGCAUCUAAGCGGGAAGCCUGUUUCAAGAUGAGGUUUCGUUUGAGGUUCCCUGUAGAUGACGGGGUUGAUAGGCCGGAUCUGGACGCCAUGUAAGUGGUGGAGGUGACCGGUACUAAUUGACCGAAAUGACACACUGC